rnacentral:sRNA from 1 species
CCGUGGCCAUUGCGGCUCAAG